rnacentral:misc_RNA from 1 species
UUUAGCUGUUGGCCAUCCUCCAUCCAAGGCCCAUUACCCAUCUUUGUAAAUGUUACAAGGCCCUGCUCCAUAACCUUUCCACUAUCAAAUUCAGCAUCCACAGCUCCNNNNNNUCCCGGAAAUUUUUCUUCAACAGAAUCAAAGUGGUCUCUCUUGAUCAUGUUCCCAAGCAUCACGAACAUUGUGAGAGUGAGUAUACCAGCAACAACUUGCCUCAAAUCAACCCCCAUUUUCAGAGCUCNNNNNNCUCAAUAAAUAAAUAUAUCUGGUAUGAGUGAGUGAAGAAGUGAAGAUAGAAAGAAAGGUUUUAGAGCCAAGAAAUUGAAGGGUUCUUUAUUGGAUAAAUUGAAGGAUUCUUUAUUGGAUAAAGAUUUAAAGCAUUGUGUGUUAUAAAGAUUAGAUCAGAGAGAAGAAAAGGUAAGAUGAAAUGGAAAGAAUAACAAGAACAAGAAGGAGAUAAGAGAAGACAGAAAGAGAGCGCGAGCGGGACAGGAGAAGCGUAUGAGCAUAUCCGGUUUUGGUUUUUGGGGCCUCGUUCGCAGUAGCUAGUGGUGGUAGGUCUUGGUAUCACUAUCGAAGACACACACAC